rnacentral:rRNA from 1 species
AACGAACGCUGGCGGCAGGCCUAACACAUGCAAGUCGAGCGCCCGCAAGGGGAGCGGCGGACGGGUGAGUAACGCGUGGGAAUUUUCCUCAAGGUACGGAACAACUCAGGGAAACUUGGGCUAAUACCGUAUGAUGUCUAGCGACCAAAGAUUUAUCGCCUUGGGAUAAGCCCGCGUCAGAUUAGGUAGUUGGUGGGGUAACGGCCUACCAAGCCUGCGGUCUGUAGCUGGUCUGAGAGGACGAUCAGCCACAUUGGGACUGAGACACGGCCCAAACUCCUACGGGAGGCAGCAGUGGGGAAUCUUGCGCAAUGGGCGAAAGCCUGACGCAGCCAUGCCGCGUGAAUGAUGAAGGUCUUAGGAUUGUAAAGUUCUUUCGCUCGUGACGAUGAUGACGGUAACGAGAGAAGAAGCCCCGGCUAACUUCGUGCCAGCAGCCGCGGUAA